CAAUAGCGUAUAUUCAAGUUGUUGCAGUUAAAAAGCUCGUAGUUGGAUUUCGGGGCAGCCUGGCUGGUCCGCCGCAAGGCGAGUACUGGUCAGCCGCCCUUCCUCUCGAAAGCCCCGACUGCUCUUCGUUGCAGUGGUCGGGUAGUUCGGGACGUUUACUUUGAAAAAAUUAGAGUGUUCAAGGCAGGCCUACGCCUGAAUACAUUAGCAUGGAAUAAUGGAAGAGGACCUCGGUCCUAUUUUGUUGGUUUCCAGGGCCGAAGUAAUGAUUAAGAGGGACAGUUGGGGGCAUUCGUAUUUAAUUGUCAGAGGUGAAAUUCUCGGAUUUAUGAAAGACGAACAACUGCGAAAGCAUUUGCCAAGGAUGUUUUCAUUAA
rnacentral:rRNA from 1 species